rnacentral:rRNA from 1 species
CUGCUGCCUCCCGUAGGAGUUUGGACCGUGUCUCAGUUCCAAUGUGGCCGAUCACCCUCUCAGGUCGGCUACUGAUCGUCGCCUUGGUGAGCCGUUACCUCACCAACUAACUAAUCAGACGCAGGUCCAUCCCAUACCGAUAAAUCUUUGGCUGAGCAUACAUGUGUAUUCUCAGUUUUAUGAGGUAUUAAUCACCGUUUCCAGUGGCUAUCCCUCUGUAUGGGGCAGGUUACCUACGCGUUACUCACCCCG